AUGCGUUUGAUACCAGGCACAAUAAAACCGGUGUUUCUGGCAGCACUGGGGGUGAGCUAGGAAAUGUGCUUAUGUCAUUUGGCAUCACUGGAGCAAACUGCAGGUCAUAGUUUUUCGUUUGGAUUUCAUUGUGGUUGGUACUCCUGUCCAGCUCACCCUCUGUCAUUGUAGAGCUUGUAGAGGGGAUGGGGCUUUUACUUUGCUUGUGUAUUUUGUGUCCUUUCUCCUGUCCCCGCCAGCUUCUUCCCCUCUGCCGCCCCCUCCCCAGCACAGCCCUGUCUUGUUCAGUUGUGCCUGGCUGAAGAUGACCAGCCCACCUGAGGUGUUUGUGGCUGAGGACAUAGCGCACCACAUAUUGAGAACACGCCGACUUCCCGUGGAAGCUGAAUGCUGCAUGUCAGAUGUCCCAAGCCAUGGGCCAGCAAGUGCAGGGGCUCUGCGGUCACCCCUGGGGCUUGGGUUGUCUAUCAUGUGGAGUGGGCAUGAGGAAUAACAAACGGCCGUUGCUCCUGGAAGAAGAGACAGGGAAACGCCUGGUGCCAUCGAUCAUCAGAGAGGAAAAUUCUUGGUGGAGCCUUGCAUUCAGGCAUCGCGUAUAGGAGCAUGUGUGACCCUUGAGAUAGAAGUCAGGGAAGGAGGGAAAAAGCAAACAGAGAUGUCUUUUUUUCCCUUAUGACAACUGUUUGGUUUAUGCUGUUUUUCUACAAUAAUGCUGCGUACCAUUAAACAGCAAUGCCACAAA